rnacentral:rRNA from 1 species
UAGCAUAUCAAUAAGCGGAGGAAAAAGAAACCAACCGGGAUUGCCCUAGUAACGGCGAGUGAAGCGGCAAGAGCUCAAAUUUGAAAGCUGGCUCCUUCGGGGUCCGCAUUGUAAUUUGCAGAGGAUGCUUCGGGAGCGGUCCCCAUCUAAGUGCCCUGGAACGGGCCGUCAUAGAGGGUGAGAAUCCCGUAUGGGAUGGGGUGCCCGCGCCCGUGUGAAGCUCCUUCGACGAGUCGAGUUGUUUGGGAAUGCAGCUCUAAUUGGGUGGUAAAUUUCAUCUAAAGCUAAAUAUUGGCCGGAGACCGAUAGCGCACAAGUAGAGUGAUCGAAAGAUGAAAAGCACUUUGAAAAGAGAGUUAAACAGCACGUGAAAUUGUUGAAAGGGAAGCGCUUGCGAUCAGACUCGCUCGCGGGGUUCAGCCGGCCUUCGGGCCGGUGUACUUCCCCGCGGGCGGGCCAGCGUCGGUUUGGGCGGCCGGUCAAAGGCCCCUGGAAUGUAACGCCUCUCGGGGCGUCUUAUAGCCAGGGGUGCCAUGCGGCCUGCCCGGACCGAGGAACGCGCUUCGGCUCGGACGCUGGCAUAAUGGUCGUAAGCGACCCGUCUUGAAACACGGACCAAGGAGUCUAACAUCUACGCGAGUGUUCGGGUGUCAAACCCGUGCGCGCAGUGAAAGCGAACGGAGGUGGGAACCCCUCGGGGUGCACCAUCGACCGAUCCUGAUGUCUUCGGAUGGAUUUGAGUAAGAGCGUAGCUGUUGGGACCCGAAAGAUGGUGAACUAUGCCUGAAUAGGGCGAAGCCAGAGGAAACUCUGGUGGAGGCUCGCAGCGGUUCUGACGUGCAAAUCGAUCGUCAAAUUUGGGUAUAGGGCGAAAGACUAAUCGA